GAGGCCAGGAGAGUCACCGUGAAACCUGGAAGAAAUAAAAGACGCCUGAUGGUGGAUUACUACAACCUUAACGACGUGGCCCCACCCACGAAGGGCCCCCCACACAAUACCCGGCCACCCAUGGGGAACCCCAACAGCUCUGCCACCGCACACAAGUUUUGCAGACAAGACCUUAAUUAACUACAUCCACCUUGCUCCAGGAGCACAGGACAUCCCGGACCCAUGUCCCAUGACGUUGCCCAGAAGCUCACAGCUGGAGACGACAUCACCUCAGACAGCGUCACCCCAGCCCGAGACCUCGCUGUUGCAGAUGCUGUCCCCCUACAGUAGAGACGACUGCACCUUACACAGUAAGCUUCCACCCCAGCGACACCCACAGAACGCCUUUCCUAAGGCAUUGACAAAGUGGACUCGGGCCAUUUACUGCCUUUUUUCCUUUGAGGUUAGGAGCACUAUUGAGUCUGCUGAACUUACUGUCUGCCUGGCCCACGAUCCCGGUAUACUCCUCACUCUCUGCCAACACGUGCGCCCUCCCCACCCACGCCUAAAGGGACAUCUGGUGGAGGUCGCUAUUGUCUGUGGCAUUCCGAAGUUAAUGGGGGUUAUUGCUCUUCCCAGGAGCCACCUGCCUCGUGUCGGGGAACCCCUCGACCCCCUGGGGAGAGGACCACCCACUCCCUAGUGACUUCUGCUCCACCCUCCAGCUUCCACCUCCCCCUCCUGCCCUGUAUCUGGGACCGUGACCCCCACAGCCACCCACCCCAAUGUUUACACGCACUUGGCCAACCGCUCAGUUUGCACCCUCUGACCACAUGACUGGUGGUCCUGCCGCCGGACCCGAGAAACAUACCGAGAUAGUAUUGUCAAAAGUUUUUGAGGUAUGUGUACAUAUCUCAUACUUUUAACGCACUUUCUGACCCCACCAAGAUAUUGUUAGAGACCCUGGAAAUUUCAG